UACGUAGGGCGCAAGCGUUAUCCGGAAUUAUUGGGCGUAAAGAGCUCGUAGGCGGUUUGUCGCGUCUGCCGUGAAAGUCCGGGGCUUAACCCCGGGCCUGCAGUGGGUACGGGCAGACUAGAGUGCGGUAGGGGAGACUGGAAUUCCUGGUGUAGCGGUGGAAUGCGCAGAUAUCAGGAGGAACACCGGUGGCGAAGGCGGGUCUCUGGGCCGAUACUGACGCUGAGGAGCGAAAGCGUGGGGAGCGAACAGG
rnacentral:rRNA from 1 species